rnacentral:rRNA from 1 species
AUGCACGCUGGCGGCGUGCCUAAUCCAUGCCAGUCGAGCGAACAGACGAGGAGCUUGCUCCUCUGACGUUAGCGGCGGACGGGUGAGUAACACGUGGAUAACCUACCUAUAAGACUGGGAUAACUUCGGGAAACCGGAGCUAAUACCGGAUAAUAUAUUUAACCGCAUGGUUCAAUAGUGAAAGACGGUUUUGCUGUCACUUAUAGAUGGAUCCGCGCCGCAUUAGCUAGUUGGUAAGGUAACGGCUUACCAAGGCAACGAUGCGUAGCCGACCUGAGAGGGUGAUCGGCCACACUGGAACUGAGACACGGUCCAGACUCCUACGGGAGGCAGCAGUAGGGAAUCUUCCGCAAUGGGCGAAAGCCUGACGGAGCAACGCCGCGUGAGUGAUGAAGGUCUUCGGAUCGUAAAACUCUGUUAUUAGGGAAGAACAAAUGUGUAAGUAACUAUGCACGUCUUGACGGUACCUAAUCAGAAAGCCACGGCUAACUACGUG